rnacentral:rRNA from 1 species
CCUACGGGAGGCUGCAGUGGGGAAUAUUGCGCAAUGGGCGAAAGCCUGACGCAGCGACGCCGCGUGAGGGCUGAAGGUCUUCGGAUCGUAAACCUCUGUCAGCAGGGAAGAACGGUCACUGUGCUAAUCAGCAGUGAAUUGACGGUACCUUCAGAGGAAGCACCGGCUAACUCCGUGCCAGCAGCCGCGGUAGUACGGAGGGUGCGAGCGUUAAUCGGAUUUACUGGGCGUAAGGCGCUCGUAGGCGGUAUGUCAAGUCAAGGGUGAAAUCCCCGCGCUAAACGUGGGAAGUGCCUUUGAUACUGGCAAACUGGAGUGUGUGAGCGGAUAGUGGAAUUCGAGGUGUAGGAGUGAAAUCCGUAGAUAUC